GAUGAACGCUGGCGGCGUGCCUAAUACAUGCAAGUCGAGCGAACGGCCGAGAAGCUUGCUUCUCUGAUGUUAGCGGCGGACGGGUGAGUAAGACGUGGAUAACCUACUUAUAAGACUGGGAUAACUUCGGGAAACCGGAGCUAAUACCGGAUAAUAUUUUGAACCGCAUGGUUCAAAAGUGAAAGACGGUAUUGCUGUCGUUUAUAGAUGGAUCCGCGCUGCAUUAGCUAGUUGGUAAGGUAACGGGUUACCAAGGCAACGAUGCAUAGCCGACCUGAGAGGGUAAUCGACCACACUGUAUCUGAGACACGCUCCCGACUCCUACGCGGAGCAGCAGUAGGGAAUCUUCCGCAAUGGGCGAAAGCCUGACGGUGCAACGCCGCGUGAGUGAUGAAGGUCUUCGGAUCGUAGAACUCUGUUAUUAGGAGAGAACAUAUGUGUAAGUAACUGUGCACAUCUUGACGGUACCUAAUCAGAAAGCCACGGCUAACUUCGUG
rnacentral:rRNA from 1 species